GUCUUCGCCAGCGGAUCUGGCGCAUGCCCUCCGAAGGCAAGCUGCGGUGGUUCAACUCCACUCGGGGACA
rnacentral:tRNA from 1 species